rnacentral:miRNA from 1 species
ACUGUUCUGUGGCAUAGAUG